rnacentral:rRNA from 1 species
CUACGGGAGGCUCCAGUAGGGAAUAUUGCACAAUGGACGAAAGUCUGAUGCAGCGACGCCGCGUGGAGGAUGACGGUUUUCGGAUUGUAAACUCCUGUUAAGAGGGAAGAAAGAGGCUCGGUUAAUACCCGAGCAAGAUGACGGUACCUCUAGAGAAAGCUCCGGCUAACUUCGUGCCAGCAGCCGCGAGUAAUACGAAGGGAGCAAGCGUUAUUCGGAAUUACUGGGCGUAAAGGGUGCGUAGGCGGUUUAUUAAGUCGGUUGUUAAAGCCCAUGGCUUACCCAUGGAUCUGCAGCCGAUACUGGUAGACUAAGAGGGUGAGAGAGAAGUGGAAUUCUCGGAGUAGCGGUAAAAUGCGUAGAUCUCGAGAGGAACACCGAUGGCGAAGGCAGCUUCUUGGCUCAUACCUGACGCUGAGGCACGAAAGCGUGGGGAGCAAACAGGAUUAGAUACCCGAGUAGUC